CAAAAGGCUCUUUUAAGAGCCACCCACAUUCUCUCAAAGAUCUGU
rfam:Equus caballus chromosome 20, whole genome shotgun sequence.